GAUGAACGCUGGCGGCGUGCUUAACACAUGCAAGUCGAACGGGCGCUUUGGGAAACUGGAGCGCUAGUGGCAAACGGGUGCGUAACACGUGGGUGACCUACCCCGAAGUGGGGAACAACAGACCGAAAGGUUUGCUAAUACCGCAUACGCUCAGUCCUUCAUUGGAUUGAGUAAAGCCGCAAGGCGCUUUGGGAGGGGCCCGCGGCCCAUCAGGUAGUUGGUAAGGUAAUGGCCUACCAAGCCGAUGACGGGUAGCUGGUCUGAGAGGACGAUCAGCCACACUGGCACUGAGAUACGGGCCAGACUCCUACGGGAGGCAGCAGUGAGGAAUAUUGCGCAAUGGGGGAAACCCUGACGCAGCGACGCCGCGUGGGCGAUGAAGGCCUUCGGGUCGUAAAGCCCUUUUGGCAGGGACGAGCGAGGACGGUACCUGCUGAAUAAGUCUCGGCUAACUACGUGCCAGCAGCCGCGGUAACAC
rnacentral:rRNA from 1 species